rnacentral:rRNA from 1 species
AGGGUUUGAUUCUGGCUCAGGACGAACGCUGGCGGCGUGCCUAACACAUGCAAGUCGAACGGAGUUAAGAGAGCUUGCUCUUUUAACUUAGUGGCGGACGGGUGAGUAACGCGUGAGUAACCUGCCUUUCAGAGGGGAAUAACAUUCUGAAAAGAAUGCUAAUACCGCAUGAGAUCGUAGUAUCGCAUGGUACAGCGACCAAAGGAGCAAUCCGCUGAAAGAUGGACUCGCGUCCGAUUAGCUAGUUGGUGAGAUAAAGGCCCACCAAGGCGACGAUCGGUAGCCGGACUGAGAGGUUGAACGGCCACAUUGGGACUGAGACACGGCCCAG